rnacentral:rRNA from 1 species
GUUAUAUGGUCAAGUGAAGAAGCGCAUACGGUGGAUGCCUUGGCAGUCAGAGGCGAUGAAAGACGUGGUAGCCUGCGAAAAGCUUCGGGGAGUCGGCAAACAGACUUUGAUCCGGAGAUGUCUGAAUGGGGGAACCCAGCCAUCAUAAGAUGGUUAUCUUACGCUGAAUACAUAGGCGUAAGAGGCGAACCAGGGGAACUGAAACAUCUAAGUACCCUGAGGAAAAGAAAUCAACCGAGAUUCCCUUAGUAGUGGCGAGCGAACGGGGACUAGCCCUUAAGUGGCUUUGAGAUUAGCGGAACGCUCUGGAAAGUGCGGCCAUAGUGGGUGAUAGCCCUGUACGCGAAAAUCUCUUAGUCAUGAAAUCGAGUAGGACGGAGCACGAGAAACUUUGUCUGAAUAUGGGGGGACCAUCCUCCAAGGCUAAAUACUACUGACUGACC